UUUUUUUUCUUUUUUUUUUCUUCAGAUUUUGCUUUAAAUUUAUCUGUCUCCCAAUCCAGUAUUUCAAAAGCUAGUCUUGUUUUCUAAGUCUUUUUGUGUCAGUUUAUCAACCUGACAUAAAAGCCUGGAAUUCUCCCACUUCAUUUUUCCUUGUGCCUCUUUUUCAGACAGGUCCAGAGCUUACCCUUAAGAGCCAUCAGCAGGCAGGAGCAAACGGGUACUUACUGAAUCUGAAACUGCGACGUGAAUAAAACUUUCGAGGAUGGAAGAACUCAGCUGAUCCAUGACAUCGAUCAUAGGCCUGUCGUCGUCCUGCACAGAAGGGAGGCGAUUACUCUGCGUGGGAAAAUGAAUCCCUCCAUCAUCCCCACCGCCUUUGUUCAGCACAUGAAGCAGAACUGCUUGCAAGGCAGUGAUAAGGGCUUUCCCACGGAAAAGUGAGGGCUGAGGCAGUGAAAGGUAGUCGGUGACACUCCCUAUGAUUCCCAGUUUAGUCUUACAAGGCUUCAGGGAUGCUAAGUAGAGCUCCAGUUUCGCAUGGUACUGAAAAGACAUGUACCUGAAUUGCACAAACUCAUGCGCAUAAACACAGUCAGCCUGGAACCUAAAUCUCAGUCUCACACAUUAUUCAUGAUGCUGUCGUGAACGUGAAGAAAUGGAAAACCCACAAGAAGACGCUUUGCCAGGCCACAAAAAUGCACUUUCCUUAUGUCACUGAUCUGCUAAAAUAACUGAGAAAUUGCUGACUGUGACUGAAUUUCAGUUCCAAAGAAACUGCACUGGAUACUGACCAUACACUCUCUGCGGUAUCUAGGUUAUGCACAGCUAUUUGGAAAAGAAGCAAAUUGGAAAAAGCACAAGAGAGAAUAUCUUAUAGGCCAUUCUUCUACAUGAAUAUGCAUGACGUGUAUUUGCCACCCUUUGUCACAGAGAGGCUCAGACAUAUGAAAUGAUUUACUUAGAAGCCUUAUAGGAAAGCUUCAGAGUGUCCUCAUUUAUGUAGGAAUGAGAACGGCUUCAAAAAAGUUGUGGUUGAAAAAAAAGACAACCAAGCUCAUGGAUAUGGGGAAUGGACUGGUUGGUCACCAGAGGUGGGCGGAGAGGAAGUGAUGAAAUGGGAAAAGGAGUCUAAGUGUAUAAACUGCCAGUUAUAAAGUAAAUAAUUCAUGGGAAUGUAAUGUACGACAUGGCAACUAGAGUUAAUUAUACUGUAUUGUAUAUUUGAAAAUUGCUCAGAGUAGAUCUUAAAAGUUCUUUUCACAAGAAAAAAUACCCUGUCGCCUUGUACAGUGAUGCAUGUUAGCUCCUUAUUGUGGCGAACAUUUCACAAUAUACACAGACAUGGAAUCACUCUGCUGUACUCCUGAAACUAAUGACAGUGCAUGUCAAUUAUACCUCAGUAAAAAAAAACUAUACAAAAAAAAGUUGCAGCUGAUCAAAGAACGCAACGUAUGAGCAAUGUUCUCAACACAGCCUGCUGGAAUAGCAGUUAACCUGGGCUUUAAAGGCGUAUAUAUCUGGCUUUCAUUUCUAGCUCUGCCACAUCUUUGCCGUUGAUUUGGAGCAAAUCAUUUAACCUCCCUGAAGUUCAGUCUCAGAAUCUUCGCAAUGCAGAUAAUAACAGCACCGAUUCUUAGGUGGUUGUGAGGGUUCGACAAGAGGAUAUGUACAAAGCACAGCUCAGUGCCCAACACGUACAUAGUAAUUAUCAUUAUCAUUAUUAUCAGAAUUAGAGACUGAAUCGAGGUUUAUCAAAAUACAGCAUGUCCGACAGCACAUUUACCAAAUCCCAGAGAGGUCCUAAAACACGUCAGGAAGCUAGCUGAAGAAAUGCGGGCAGGAAGGAGUGGGUACCUUUGAAAAUGAUUUGGCAAGACAAUGAUCAUUUUGAGGAUCAUAAAACCAAGACUAGUGAUUUAAAACAAGACAAUGGAAAGCAGUAUUUUUUUUAAAGAAGUAACCGACAUAAAAAUCUGGUCCUUCUUUCACCAACUUACACAUAGAGUUUGGCACCUGUGCCGACAGGUCAUGAACCUUAACACCUAAACCUGGGUGGACAGCACUUGACCGAGUGCAGAAUAGCUGGGGUCAACCAUGGUUAUUAAUUGGCUUACUUCUUUUAUCUCAAGGGGACAUGUCUUAUUGUGAUGCCAUUUUUCUACUACUAUUGAGAUUAAACCAUGCUCAUUUUCAAUGGGAUGAAUUAUUUUCUCAAUAAUAUCUUAAUUCUAUGUACACUGAACAUUACGAAAGAAAAUGACCUAUAGCCAAAUCUUCAGAUUCUUCACUUGUUCACAAAGCACCAUGUCUUAGAGAAUCGGAAAUGGUCUAUUCUGUUGCCCUCAAAAUAUAUAACGUCUCUCUUGUCGAUCAAGAGUACAAUUUCACACUUAAAAACACACCCUGACUCAAAAAUUAUUUGUUGACCUCAUGUGUGAUGGAAAGAAUAUAAACCAGUACUGAAUUCUUUAUAGUUUUCAAUCUAAACGUUGAAGCUGUUGAAAGACAUGAAUUGGAAAAUUCAGAAAAAUGAUUCAUACCUCAGGCUGACCCAGGGCAACAAAUAAAGCUCGAAUUUCCUUGAGUAUUAAAACAGACAGUUUGCGUGUGGCCACCUGGAAACUGCAGAGCAAAACCAGAGCAAAACCUUCCACGGCAUGGAGCACACUGCAAUGCGGCCCUCGCUCCGACUGGACUCGGUGGCUGGAGCCAUUGGCGAUUAGCUGUCAUGCAAAGAGAACACUCUGUGUUCAGAAAAACAGGAUGGAAGAAGAAACCGCCCUUAUGUGCACCUGUUCCAGCACAUUUGACCUUGUAAAACUAAAAUAAAUUACAAUGGCUUAGAACCAGUCAUGUCUAUGCAUUCAUUAUUAUUCAUGAAAUAUCAUACAUGUCUUUUUGUUACUUUGGAAAACCAUCACCUCUCUGUUACCUCUGAUAAAAAAUAGCUUUUCAAAGGCUACUCAUAUGAAUAAAAACAAGACUGCUUCUAUCCAUACCAUCUGAGAUGAUACCAUAUAUUUCAUUAAAGUAACCUCAUUUGAUUUUACUUAAACCUAUAGACUUUUCAGUCGCUGUUAAAUUGAAUAUCACAUUUUCAAAUAUUUACUUUCUGAUCAGACUUGAAGACUUGUUUUCAUGUUAGAUUUUAAUCUGGGUUUUGCACAUUAAUGUGAUGGGUUCUGAAAGUUUCCAAACCAAGUGAGUUCAAAACAAAAGCAAGACAGACCACAGAGCAGAUCCCACCAUCAUUUCAGUCUUCCUUUUACAAGCACGUGUAUCCUUGUUUUUCUCCCUGUCACCUUUUGGCAAGCGUAGAAGGAGGAAUGAGCUGAACCUCAUCUCUGGGGUCAGCCCACCUGGGAUCUUGGCUGCUCCCAAGCCCGAGCAUGCCUGACCCUCAGUUAGGCUCCUCCCAUGCCAGACCCUUCCUCCAUCUGCUCAUUGCCAAUGUCAAGUCACACUGCCCUGGUUCUCCUCUGACAACACUCCUCAACUUGCUCUUCAAAAUGUUCUCAUUAAGUUUAUGAUCCAGGACUGACGCAGGAAAUGAUGAAGAAGCCAAAAGACUAUGUUCUUUGGAUAUUGGAGAAAAUAACCAGCUGUUGCUUAUUAGAAAAAAAUAACAACUGGUAGGCAGCUAACUUUCGUAUAUUGAUGUCCAUAUCCAGCUCUAGACACAUAUCCAUAUUCAUCUCCACAUCCGCCUAGAUCCAUAUGCAUAUCCAGCUCUAGAGCACAUCCAUAUCUAGAUCCAUGGCCACGUCUAGAUCCAUAGCCCUAUGUGUAUCCAGCUCUAUACCCAUAUUCAUGUCUAUGUCCAUAUCCAGCUCUAGAUCCAUAUCCAUCUAGUCUAUAUCCAUAUCCAACUAGAUCCAUACCCAUGUCCAGCUCUAGAUCCAUGUCCAUCUAGUCUAUAUCCGUAUCCAACUAGAUCCAUACCCAUGUCCAGCUCUAGAUCCAUGUCCAACUCUAUAUUCAUAUCUCUGUCCAUAUCUAACUCUAGCUUCAUAUCCAUAUCUAGAUCCAUAUCUAGCUCUAUGUCUCUUCCUGUGGCUACUUGCUCUGACAAACAGAUUGGUAAUCACAAUUUUCUGAAGGAAAACCAUUUCUACUCCCUACACGGCCUUGUUAAUAUUAGUAAAUCUAACAUGAUGUGGCAUGCCACCUGCUCAGUUUCUUGGUCACAAUUUCGGCGGGUGGAAAAAUGAAGGGCCACCACUAGGGAGAAAGUUUCUAGGUAGCUGAAGGUAAGAAAUCCCAAGGUUCUCUGGGCUGCCGGCUAUUUACAUACAUAAUACAUGUGGAAUAUAAAUCAGUGGGGAGAGGGUGAACAUCACCUCCGAAUUUCUGAUUUUGUUGGCUUGCUCGUAAACUUUGCCUUGAGUUUGUAUGACCAGUUUCCACUGGGUGAGCAGCUGGAGCAGUAACUUGAGGGAUGAAUCGAGGAGUGUGUGGUGCAUGUCAUUUACUUCCCGGAGCAGGAAGUUGGUAAAGCCAAACAGGACAUCUUCCCGCCAGUCCGAGAAGUCCACCAGCAGACCCUGAAGAGAGUUCUGUGCAAUAUGUCGCAGUUCAUCGUCCAUGUGAAUCGAGAGCCUGGGAGACGGAUAAAGACAAUAAAAUCAUUUACUUGAUUAGCUUUGCUUCUAGAGCUCUAAAGGAACACACACGGGUCUCCUCUCGGUAGGUGAACAUGAGCCACCCUCCCCUGACAUAUUAUUAUAUUCUUUACUCAGCUCCCCUGAUGUUAACAUCUUACACAACCCUGGCACUUUAUCAAAACUGAGAAGGUCUGUGCUACGGUGCAAUGCUAUUGACUAAAAGAGAGAUUCAGAUUUCACCAGUGUUCCAUCAAUGUCCUUUUUUUCUGUUUCAGAAUGCAAUCCAAGAUACCGCAUGGCCUUUAGCUGCACAUGAAUAUUUUAAAAGACAUUACCAACUACAGAACAAAUGAGUAUCAACACUUACCACGUUUUGGGAUAGUACUCAAGAACCCCUCCAGAAGCGGAAAUGAACAAUCAAAGCUUUGUUACGGGUGGAACUGUGUCUCCUCCCCAGUUCACUUGCUGAAAUCCAAGCCCUCAAGACCUCAGAAUGGGACAUUCUGUGGUGAUAGGGUCAUGGCAGAAGGAAUUAGCUACAUUAGGACGGAGUCAUGCUGGAGUAGGGUGGCACCCACAUGACCGGCGUCCUUUUUAGGAAGGGGAAAUUUAGAGGCAGAAACACGCAGGGAGAAUGCCAUGAAAAGACAAAGGCAGAGGUCAGGGUGAUGCUUCUGUGAGCCAAGGAAGGCCAAACGAUGCCAGAAACCACCAGACGCUAGGAGAGAGGCGCAGAGCAGAUUCGCGCUCACAGACUCAGAAGGAAGCAACCUGGAUGACAUUUGAUCUUGGACUUCUAGCCUCUGGGACAGUGGGACAAUACAGUUCUGUUACUCAAGCCACGCAGUUGGUGCGGUUUUAUUAGGGCAGCCCUAGAACACAUGAAACGAGCCAAGCGCCGAUCUUCAGAGUCAAAAGUCAAAAUGAAGACACGUCAUGGCCUAUGUAAAUGACACUUUUAAGGAAGGGCCAAUACCGUCAGUUUUCCCACGGCAUUCACUCUAUUCUUCAUCUCACUUGGCCGUCACCCACAAUCUGAAACCUGGAAUCUGUUUUACCUUAAACCGACAGGGCAGGACCAACUCUGAGAGCCCCAAGGUGGUGUAGCUCAUGCUAUUUCUGGUGAUCGCUCCUCCUGAAAUAACGGUAUUCACUGGCCUGACCAGUGAAAACAGUCAAAAAUACUCCUGCAGCGUGAAGAGACAGGACCGGGGAGGGGAGAGAGCGCUGGAAAUAAAAAGGCCUGGGUGAUAACAAAGUGGAAUGUUUUGUGGAAGAAAAAGGGCCGGUGUCACGGAACCGAGACGGAGUGAAAAUGAUGUAUCCAGGUAGGUCUGAGCAGCAGCAGGUGAGGGAGAAGGGGAAGAAGCCGUGAGAAGGGCCAGAGUCCCUCCCCGCCUCUUUCCUUCGAGAGUCUGAGCAGGGAGCUGCCCAUCAGACACGGCCGACGCAAUUUCUUCCUCC
rnacentral:lncRNA from 1 species